GAUGAACGCUGGCGGCGUGCUUAACACAUGCAAGUCGAACGGUGAAGGCGGAGCUUGCUCUGCUGGAUCAGUAGCGAACGGGUGAGUAACACGUGAGCAAUCUGCCCCUGACUCUGGGAUAAGCGCUGGAAACGGCGUCUAAUACUGGAUACGAGCUGCGAAGGCAUCUUCAGCAGCUGGAAAGAACUUCGGUCAGGGAUGAGCUCGCGGCCUAUCAGCUUGUUGGUGAGGUAACGGCUCACCAAGGCGUCGACGGGUAGCCGGCCUGAGAGGGUGACCGGCCACACUGGGACUGAGACACGGCCCAGACUCCUACGGGAGGCAGCAGUGGGGAAUAUUGCACAAUGGGCGAAAGCCUGAUGCAGCAACGCCGCGUGAGGGACGACGGCCUUCGGGUUGUAAACCUCUUUUAGCAGGGAAGAAGCGAAAGUGACGGUACCUGCAGAAAAAGCGCCGGCUAACUACGUG
rnacentral:rRNA from 1 species